rnacentral:rRNA from 1 species
GACGAACGCUGGCGGCGUGCUUAACACAUGCAAGUCGAACGGAAAGGCCCUGCUUUUGUGGGGUGCUCGAGUGGCGAACGGGUGAGUAACACGUGAGUAACCUGCCCUUGACUUUGGGAUAACUUCAGGAAACUGGGGCUAAUACCGGAUAGGAGCUCCUGCUGCAUGGUGUGGGUUGGAAAGUUUCGGCGGUUGGGGAUGGACUCGAGGCUUAUCAGCUUGUUGGUGGGGUAGUGGCUUACCAAGGCUUUGACGGGUAGCCGGCCUGGGAGGGUGACCGGCCACAUGGGGACUGCGAUACGGCCCAGAAUCCUACGGGAGGCAGCAGUGGAGAAUAUUGCACAAUGGGCGGGAGCCUGAUGCAACGACGCCGCGUGCGGGAUGACCGCCUUCGGGUUGUAAACCGCUUUCGACUGAGACGAAGCGUGAGUGACGGUAAUGAGUAAGGAAGCACCGGCUAACUACGUG